GAAUGCUGGUAGGUUGUGUGACAUCUGUCACUCCACUGACCACCAGGGCUGGUUCAGCUGAUCUGGCUGCCUUGGCGUGUGUCCCCUUCCUCCCUUACUGCUCCAUGGGCAUCUCUCUGGAAGCAGCACUCCGGGUUGAAGAAUCUGACCUUCCCGAACAGAAGAGAACUGGUCUUGGUCAAAGGUAUACAAGUAGCUGCACUCCCCUGCUAGAACCUCCAUACAAGCUCUCAAGGUCCGUUUGUAGGAGAAAGUAGGAGGGUCAAGCUUCUAAGCAUCCAGACCCAGCCAAAUGAAGCAAUGCAGAUGGCAGGCUGCCUUU
ensembl:misc_RNA 7SK 7SK RNA